rnacentral:rRNA from 1 species
CCUACGGGAGGCAGCAGUGAGGAAUAUUGGUCAAUGGACGAGAGUCUGAACCAGCCAAGUAGCGUGAAGGAUGACUGCCCUAUGGGUUGUAAACUUCUUUUAUAUGGGAAUAAAACAGGGUAUGCAUACCCUCUUGUAUGUACCAUAUGAAUAAGGAUCGGCUAACUCCGUGCCAGCAGCCGCGGUAAUACGGAGGAUCCGAGCGUUAUCCGGAAUUAUUGGGUUUAAAGGGAGCGUAGGUGGAUUGUUAAGUCAGUUGUGAAAGUUUGCGGCUCAACCGUAAAAUUGCAGUUGAAACUGGCAGUCUAGAGUACAGUAGAGGUGGGCAGAAUUCGUGGUGUAGCGGUGAAAUGCUUAGAUAUGACGAAGAACUCCGAUUGCGAAGGCAGCCCACUGGACUGAAACUGACACUGAUGCUCGAAAGUGUGGGUAUCAAACAGGAUUAGAUACCCCAGUAGUC